GGUUGUACUGUUUCAUUCUUGCUCUGCAAUAGAGGAAGAGAAACCAUCUUGACUCUCUCUGUACUUCCUUGGGGAAGCAGCCAGGAUCUUCUGUGCUGGCCCUGCCUUUGGCUAACUGUGACCUCUGUGAGAGAGCUUUAUCCCCUUAAUUCACCGGCUGCAGAUGAAGACACAAAGGCUCACGGAAGGAAAGAGGUGUUCUGGGCCCCUGGCUGUUGCAACUCCUGUUGUUUUGGCGUGAUUUCCCUGAAAGGAUAUGGUGGUUCAUGCUCACUCUGAAGAGCUUCUGAAGACAGAGGCAGGAAAACCUCUCAGCUUCUGGACCUGGAGGCCAAAAAUUGAUGCUGUCCUGGUACUUCUGCCCC